AACGAACGCUGGCGGCAUGCCUAAUACAUGCAAGUCGAGCGAGCCCAUCAGGUCCUUUCGCGCCCGGGUUCGUAACGCGUGGGAUCCUGCCCUUAGGUUCGGAAUAACUCCCCGAAAGGGGUGCCAAUACCGGAUCAUAUCUUCGGCCCAAAGAUUUAUCGCCUUUGGUUGGGCGCGAGUUGGAUUCGCUAGUUCGUAGGGUAAAAGACUACCAAGGGGACCAUCCAUAGCUGGUAGGAGAGAAUGAUCAGCCACACUGCGACUGGGAAACGGCCCAGACUCCUACGCGAGGCAGCAGUGGGGAAUAGAGGACAGCGGGCUGAGGCAUGAUCCACUAAUGACGCGAAAGUUAUGAAGGCCUUAGGGUUGUAAAGUGUAAGUACCCGUGCAGAUAAUGACAGUACCGGGAGAAUAAGCCCCGGCUAACUCCGUG
rnacentral:rRNA from 1 species